AGAGAGAGAGAGAGAGAGAGAGAAUGGAGUCACCAGGGCAGUGGCUGGAAAAUGCUCUGGUAGAUUUGUGCAAGAGAAUAGAGACGGAUUUGGAUUUGGAUAGGGAAAUAAUCUCCGGCUUAGUCUCUUACUGCGAGCUCGCUCAGCCCCUUGAUGCCAAAGAGUAUCUUGAUAAUAUCAUUGGGCAGGAAGCAGGCAAAAGCGUGAUUGAGGAAUAUUUACGUCGUCGAGGUCAUUCAGAUGUUGGCAGCAGCACACCAGCUGUCCAAACCUCAAAAUUUCAUGCUUAUGUCAAACCAUCAACAAACAAUGGUUCUGAAAGUGGAACCAAGAAACCAGGUAGAUCACCUAAAGAUGUUGCUGUCUCUGGUUAUCAGAAUGAACCGAGGAAAGUUUCAGUUCCCAGUUAUCAGGCAGAACAAAAGAAGAACGCUAUUUCCAUUUAUCAAGAACCUAAGGUUUCAACCGAGGCAAGUGAGUCAAGCCAGAAGGGGAUCCAAGGUCAUUCUAGGAAGAAAAAAGCUGGGAAAGUCAUUUCGCUUGCAGAGGCUGCUAAGGGGUCAAUUGUGUUCCAACAGGGGAAACCAUGUUCAUGCCAAGCUCGUCGACACAGACUGAUAAGCAAUUGUUUAUCUUGUGGCAAGAUAGUUUGUGAACAAGAAGGAGAGGGGCCUUGCAGCUUCUGUGGUGCCCUUGUUCUAAAGGAGGGGAGCACCUAUGCUGGUCUUGAAGGAAAUUUGGCUCCCCUAUCAGAUGCUGAAGCAGUAGCUGAAGCUUAUGCAAGAAGGCUUGUUGAGUAUGACCGAAACUCUGCAGCACGUACAACUGUUAUUGAUGACCAAAGUGAUUACUAUGAGAUUGAGGGCAACAGUUGGCUGUCAAAAGAGGAAAAGGAACUUUUAAGGAAGAAACAACAGGCGAUAGAAGAAGCUGAAACAGCGAAGCGAAAUAAAGUAGUUGUGACUUUUGAUUUAGUUGGGCGCAAGGUCUUGGUAAAUCAAGAUGAAGUUUCAGAACAAGAGUCAGAGAACAGAAUAUUGCGGCCACCAGAUGAAAGAGACAGAGAAAUGAACCGAAUUAAACCAAAUCCGACUCUUACAAUACAACCAAUCUUCAUGGAUCCUGGCCCUAGCACAAAGCCUAUGAAGGGUAAGGAGCGAGACAAGGUCCUUCCAAAUAGUUUAUGCUUGGAAGUCACUGGGAGGGUACAGCAUGAUAGCAAUCAAUUGAAAUAUUUUAUGAUGGACACGUGACAACCAGUUAUAAACAGAAAAUGUGCGGCAUUGACCAGGUCCAUUAGUGAAUAGAGGUAUGCUUAUGGAAAGUGAAAACGAAUAUUCUCUGGAUGGCCAUUGAAGUCAAGGUUCAGCUUUUGUUUCUCUGCAAAAAUCUCUUGCUUGCUAAGGGUUUUAUAACUUUUGUUUCACUAGCAGGUAGGAGCACUGCAAAUUGAAGUUGUAUUUACCAUCG
rnacentral:misc_RNA from 1 species